UUUUUUUUUUCUGCUUUAUCUCCCCAAACCAACCCCCGUACACAGUUGUAUGUCUUAGUUGCAGGUCCUUCUAGUUGUGGGAUAUGGGAUGCCACCUCAACGUGGCCUGACAAGAGGUGCCAUGUCCACGCCCAGGAUCUGAACCCUGGGCCGCCAUGGUGGAGUGCCUGAACUUAACCACUCGGCCACGGAGCCGGCCCCUUUUAGCCACAUUUUAAGCCCUCAAAAACCACAUGGGGCUAAUAAUGACUUUAUUGGAUAGUGCCGAAACAAAUGUUUACAUUCUUGCUGAAAGUUCUCUUGAACAGGCUCCAGAAGUAGGGCAUCUAGAACCAGGGUAGAAUUCCAGACAUCCUUGUUCAUCCCUUGUGCCCUUCCAGGUCUGUCCCCUGCAGUAACCACACUAGGGUGGCCUUCCCGUGUAAUUUCUCACCAUUGGCACAGAGGCUACAUAGAGUUGUCAUCUGUGAGGAAUUCCUGCAGCUGACCCAGAAUGGUACCCAGCAGAGCUUUGCCCUGGACAAGAACAGUGUCCCUGUGGAUGGUGAAGCUCCCUGGUCAAUGGGGUGGAGUGGGGUUUCCAAUUUCCACAUCUGGGGUCUUUCCUGGGAAUCUGGAGGCCUGGGGAUGGGACAGAAUUCAACUUUCUCAGGCUGGCAGGAGGUGGCAUAGUCCCCCAGGCUUUGCCCAUCAUUGAGGGAGAGAAAAGGACUCCCAGUGGGAUAUAGCAGGCACUUGCCUUCUCCCAGAGAGCUCUGUGAUCUCAGGCCAGUCACCUCCCCUCUCUGGACACCUGCUUCAUUAUCUCUGCAUUGAAAUCGCUUGGCCGGAUGGUCAGUGAGGACCUCCAGCUGUGUGUGAACCCACGUUGGCAGGUGUGGUGGGAUGGGCCUGUUUUCUGAUCCACAGGCUGUAUAAAAAUAGGAAUGGGUCUGACUUGACCCACAGGCUGUAGUUUGCCAAGUCAUGCUCUAGAUCAGCACGAUGCACUAGAACUUCCUGUAAUGAUGGAAAUGUUCUAUGUCUGAGCUAUCCAGUGCAUACACACAUGUGGCUAUCGAAUACUUGAAGGAUGGAAUUGUGACUGGUUUUUAUGGUUACUGAUUUUUAAUGUUACUGAGGUACCAGAUCUUUAAUAUUAUUUCAUUAAAAUUAAUUUUAAUUUAAAAAGGCACUUGCUGUUCCAUAUUGGACAACACAUCUCUAUGAAGUUGCCUGGAGAGAGGUUGCACAAGUAGGGGGACCUACAACCCUCCCUUGGUACACAGUGAGUGCUCUGUGUCCCUACCCCUUGGAGUUGAUGGUGUAGUUGGCAGUAACAAGAACAGGCAAUUAAAAAUUAUAAAUUAUUUGAUGCAAACCAGUCCAUACUUGGGAGUGUUAAUCAGAAAAGGCUUCCUGAAGGAAAUUCCAUUGUAGCUGAAUCCUGGAAUAUGAAUAUAAAACAACUUGGUAAAGGAGAGUGGGAUAAGUGUGUUUCCAGGCAGAGAAGAAAUUGUUUGGGAAUUUACAAAUUUAGAGAGAUCGCAUCGGCUUGCCAACUGGUGACCCAUGCUCCCCUCACCAUCAUAAGAUGGCCCGGCCCAAUUUCAGUCCCCUGUGCCCAGAGGUAUAAAUUUGAUUUAAUGUGUUACAGUAUUGUAGUGUGAUAGAGGCCUUGGAUUAUGUAGCAAAGUGUCCUAAUUAUUCAGAGAUGCAAACUGAAAUGAGGUGAAACAUCAGAAUGUCUACUCAACUUUAAUAUUUCAGUGAGGGGCCAUCCCCAUGGCUGAGUGAUUAAGUUUGUGCAUAGCAGCACAGGGUUCACUGGUUCAGAUCCUGGGCACAGACCUACACACCACUCAUCAAGCCAUGCUGUGGCAGCAUCCCCCCUAGAAGAACUAGAAUGACCUACACCUAAGAUAAACAAUUUUGUACUAGGGCUUUGGGGAGAAAAAAUAUUUCAGUGAAAAUAUGGGAGAAAGCAAGGGUGGCAAGUGUGAAUAAUUUACACAUUGGAUUAAAUAUUGUUUUAAUUGAAGUUUACAUUGUUAAAUCUAGGCAAUGGAUGUUUCCAAUAUUGUUCCACUUUUCUGUGUGUUUGAAAAGCUUUAUUUAAAAAAGUAAAACAUACGUGUAUUUUCCACUUUAUUCACUUCCAGUGUGCUCUCCCAACAGAAAUGGUGGCUUGACUGAGAAUUCUGGUAAGCCUCAAGGAAGCCCCAGUCUGGGGUUGGGAGGGAAUAUCUCGAUGCUCUGCCCCAUCAAAGAUAACCAUGCACACAGGAUCUUAGGUGAUGAUGAAAACUGGCCAACCCAUGUCAAAGCAUGUUGAGCACAGUGGGGGGACAGCAGGAACCCUGGGGGAAUGACAGGAGUGGCUCAGCCCAGCACUUGUCUCCCCGGACCUCCCCUUCUGGGCCAUCAUCCUCAUCUGCUUGGUGGGACUCAUGGUGCUCAUCACAUGCCUGAUCUGCUGUCUCCUGGUAAGCAAGGAAGUGCCACUUGUUUUCUUUCUAUUGGGUUGUAAGAGCUCUUUAUAUAUUAUAAAUAUAUGUGCUUUGCUAGGGAUAUGUUUUGCAAAUAUUGUCUCCUAUUGGCCAUUUGGUGUUCAUUUAGAGCUUUAGAGCUUGAAUCACUAGUGACAUUAUCAUCUGCCCAACUCUGAGUGACUCACUCCCCUGUCCCAGACAUUUCCAUCAACCCAAAGGAUCGUGUUCAAAAAUAAAUAAUUCAGAAACAUAUUAACCCACCACAAAUUCUUGAUGACCAAUUUUUGCUAAAACACUCGUACAAUAGAUACUAGUUCCUCAAGAUCAGAAGUGAUGCCACAUCACCAUGUCCUCAGCUUAAUUUCUCUUCUCUUAUUCCUACCGUUCCUGGAUUUCUUAGCCUAUGAUCUCAAUAAUUCCCUUGGAAUCAUCCAAAAUUUCUUACCACUCAUCAUAUCUGCCUUGUAAAACUUAAACCCCAGAAGAUCAUGAUCAUCUGCCAUGCCUUAGCUGCUGCUGGUCUUAGGAUUUUAUGACGCAACAUGCUAUUUUGGUACCAUUGUAAAUCCAAAAUCAGCUGCAUCAACUGAGAAGCAUCCCUAAUGCCUGGAAAUUCUACUUUCUUUUCAUGUGUUGGCAUAUUUACUCCUUGAUUUUCCACAAAGCUUGUUUUAAAUAUUCCCCACAUUUCUUUUUCCUUCAUAUAUGUUCAAGGUCUCUUAACUUGCCUGAUAUUUCACAGAGAAAUCACUGUCUCUACUCCUUCCCCUUAGCCAUGAGCCAUUGAGAAAAGGUCAUCUACGUUAUGUGUCUGUGACCUCACCUCCAACUACCUCCUCAGAAAACCUCACACUCCAUCUGCCCUCACCAUUCUAUGUGUGCUUCCCUUGUAAGGCCACAGUGAUUCCUUUCUUACUAGACCCACUAGGGACUUUUCAUCAUUCAUCUGACAUGAAUAUUCAGUGGAAAACUUUUAUAUGUUGGGAGCUCCUUAGAUAUGUGAAUCUCGUGUUACAACAGUGACCACUAUAGUAUCUCAAUGUAGAAGCUGCAUAUGUGAAAAAAUUCAACGUACAAAUGGAGACCGUGCUAUAAAUGAAUUUGUAGAUCCCAGUAAAAGAAAAAAAGAACAUAAACUAUUUCAUUAUUAAUUUUUAUAUAGAUUGCAUGCACUAAUGAUAGUAUCUUGGUUAUAAUGUGUUAAAAUAUACUAUUAAAAUUAGUUUCACCUGUUUAUUUUUACUUCUUUUAAAUGUGGCUACUAAGAAAAUUUUAAAUUCCACAAGAUAGAGUGCUAAAUUCUACUGUUGGACAGUACUGGUCAAGCCAUGAAAAUAAAGCCCAGAGAAAGUGGUGAGGCACAAUUUUUCCCACGGAAAGGAGUCUGUCGACCCACAUGGCAAGAUGCAGAAAACACUGCCGUACACACACACAGACACACACACAUAUACUUACAAAACAAAACAAACAUCGUCCUAGAGUUCCAUCACUACUUCUCAAGUGGCAAGAGGAUUGCACUCCUACAUAGUCUUAAGUGGACUAACCUCAGGAAAGAAGUCAGAAGUCAAGAUAAUUUACCAAUCAGGAAGAUCUAAAACUGGAGACUCAAGGACAAGAUAUUUUGUGAGUUUCCCAUUGACGCAUUCUGUUAGUAAUUCAACACAUUAGGAAGACUUUUCGAAGGAGGGUUGUUUUAAAACUCACCUUUCCUUUAGUUUGUAAAAAUAUACAAGAUAUGUAAAGAAUAAUUACUCUAGCCCAUCAAUGAAAAGGAGAUGAUAGAACAUGAAUAUCACUGUCAUAAAUCACUCUUGGAUUAGUGAGCCAGUCGGGGAAUAGAUGACAUUGGAUUAAUUUGGACCUCAUUAGGCCUAUUCUGACUUCAUGACCAUCAUAUUGAUUGUCUCAUGCUAGGACCUAUGAAACUUGCUGGCCCCACCACUAUUUAACCACCAAGGUCCACCAAGCAGGCCAGUCCUUUCCGACAAAUCCUCGGACUCCACCCCUCUGCCAACACCUGGAGCAUUUCCCCCAAAUCCCACUCCUUCACAGCGCUCUUCCACCUGCCACCAGCCAGGGAACAUUUCCUCCAAGGCUCACACAGUGUGGGCCCAGUCCUGGGGAAGACACUUCUCCCUCAAGUGAAGAAAAGGAUCAGAGUGCAGCCCCUGUGGGCUGCAGCCGUUAGGACAAGGACUGGCAUUUGUGACAGAGAGAAGAGAACCUUUAGUGGGUGUGGGUACCAGUGUUCCAGAAGCCCCAGUGAUUCCUGGAUAGAACCAAAGAAGACAACGCAGGACAGAGCAGGUAUUGUUGGGUGUGAUUCUGCUUGGGAAUGCCCAUAGGAAGACAUUUGUGACAUUGAUAAUGCAUUCAACAGUGCUGUUCAUUCAUCGAUUCAUCUUACCUCAUGGAGUGCUUUCUAUAUUCAUUCCGGCACCAGCCUCACCCUCUGGAGCUUACAGACAAUGUCAGAAGAAUUUUUAAAUUUUAUUUACAAUAUAUAGUUACAGUGCUUGUGAUGUGCGAGGUGUUCCAAGCAUUUUCGAAACAUUAACUCCUUUAAUACUCUCCGUGUUCUUACAAAUUAGGUACAUUUGUCAUUCUUGCCAACAACAGAUGAAGAAACUGAGGCACCGAUGAGGUAAGUACUUUGCCCUCUACCAAUAAAUAUCUAGGAAGUGACUGAGCUGGAAUUUGAACAUAAGAUGUUGCUCCAUAUUCUCUGCUCUUAACCAUGAUGUUUACCCUCUAAGACUUCACACCACGAAGACACUGGACCAGCUUAUCCAUUUUCUUGUUACAUCAAGUAGCCCCAUUCUUGGAUCUGUGUCUGAGAAAGAUACUAUUUGCAUCGAAACUGUUGCACAUACACACCCAAGUGACUUCUAGCAGUAUCCUCUGUCCUCGAAAAUUCAUAGAGAACAUUUCAAAACCUUUCUUGCCCAGGCUGGGAGGCCUUCUAGGGAAUCCCACUGUUCCUCUAAGAAGCCAAGGGCAGGCUGGGAGUUGGGUCUCAGGGGAAAGGCAGCCUCAGGAGUUACCAUGGAAUUACAAAAUUGAUGGGAUGGUCUCAGCAGUAACUGAAUUCAGGAUCUGGUAGUGUUUCAGGCUGGGUGGCAAUUUUCUGGCUGUGGGUAUAGGGGCUGGUGCUGCAUUACAAGGAGAGGGGAUGGCUCUCUGUGUUCUUGGGGAAACCAGGACCCAUGAAAGAGCGAGAAUGAGAGUUUCUUUUCACAAUGGACUUGUGAUGGCAAAGAUUCAGCCCAGAAGAGACAGUUAUGUGCCUGGGGUAACCAAAAGCUGCAUUUGCUUCCACCAAAGCAGAAAGCCCUUCUUCACGGACUCAUUUUAUCCAAAUGAGACCAAGAAGGAGGAAAUAAUGUGAUGCUCUUGCAGGUGUGAGAUCCCUGACAGUGGAGACUGUGCCUGGGAAGUUCUGAAAGGCCUCACAGAGAUGCCAUUUGCUGCAAGCAGAAUGAUAAGUGUGCAGACCUGAAAACAAGGCCAAGAGGGGCAGUGACUUUCCCAAGAUCACAGAGCUGGAACCCAGGCCUGCUUUGAGAGGUUGAGAGAUUGAGGAGGCCCUGAGAGGCACAAUGAUGUUUUCAGGACACAGACCUGGUUGGAAAAAAGAGAUCUGGACUCAGCUGUGUGUCCUCCAACUGGAACCCUGGUUCCAUUCUCAAGGUCCUGUGUGGGGCGCUGUGCUGGAUAUUUGCCUACUGCUAUGGAGAUGACAUGGGCAAGGAGGGUGAGAGUCAAGAGCCGAGAGGGGGUUUUGGGUGGGUGUGGUUGAUGGAAGGGGACCAGGUAAUGGAGCCUUGGAGAAGUGUUCACCUCCUUGGCGACAGGCCCCAACAGAACUUAGCACUCUGGUCUCCAGGCACCCACAUUAGACAUAGCUUCCUAUUGAGCUCACUUGAGUGGAGACACUCAACACAACAGGAUGUUCUUGUCUUGUAUCCCAACUCGUGGAGGCUCUGGCUUCUGGAAAGCCGAGAAUUAAUGAGAGUCUUUUCAGUCACUGUAGACAUUGGCUCAGCCCUCACCUGCAACACCUCUGGCCGUCUGGCAGGAGGAGCCCUCAGGUAACACAGGACAGGCCACUCCAGGUCAGGCCACAGCUGGAUCCCACCUGGAGACCCCCACAAACCUUGACCCUCAUUUUGUGUCAGGGGAGUACAGUGAGGGACGGUGGGGCUGAGCAGGGACCCACCCUGGGCAGGAGCAGAUUGCUCGGUGUUGGAAGCCUGGCAGUGUCAUGUUCCUAGCCCAGGUUGUGGCUGGCAGGAUGGGAAGGUGAGUGCUGGGGACCAAGCUCCUUUACCCGUAUGUUAAUCCUGAGCUCUCUGGGUGUCAUCUCCUUCCCUCUCUGGCUGGAGGUCUAGGCAGAUGCCCCUCUGUACCUGAUCUGUUGUGGGAGUUUCCCCCCGUGGCCAAGUCGAGGCAGGCCUCUGAGACCUCGUGGCCUGGCUCUUGGGCACUGUCUUUGCAAAGCUGCACACAGGAGAUGGUCGAGGAGCUGGCGGAUAGCUUCGGCUACUCCCUCUCUCCGGAGAGGGGGCAGGUGCACCAUGCCACCAAGAAUGACCAGGGCUGGUCUGAGGUGAGAGUGGGCACAGAUGGGUCUCCCUAUCCAGGACCCUGAGAUGACCAGGGCUGGCUCAGAAUCCAGAGUCAAACUGAGAUUUCCCCGGGUACCUAACAGGGCUGUCCCACCUGAGUGUCCCAUGUUCCCAUUCCCAAAGGAAUCUGGACUUCCCCUCCUCCCCACCAGCUGCCUAGGAGGGUGGGAAGUCCCUCUUUGCACAUUCCUAGGAAGAUUAGCAGAAACAUUGGCCUUGUUUUCACUUCCCACUAGGAUGUGAGUAUCUUUGAAUUUUGCCUUUUUCUGAACCUGGGACCCCCAUAAUGAGGGUCUCAAAACUCCCUUUAAUGUAAGAGAAAGAACCAUCAGUGUCUUUUUGAAGUCAACAGGAUUCUCACAGGGUAUGUCUGCCCUCUACAUUGUCUCCAAACUAGGGAGGGGUGGGCCUCCCACAGAACAUUUCCCUCCAGGUCAAGGGCAAAUGAAGCUUCGGGCAGUUUAGAGGGAAGUUCUGUCAGCCUUCAUUUGGGGCGGUUCUCAGUUCUGACCCACAGGACCUUGAGAAGCCGCUUGGCAUGCCUAAGCCUCUGUUCUCAUCUCUAUAGAGGGGGUGUCUGUUGAGGAUUCACUGGGCUGGUGAUCAUCAUACAGGGAGGUCUGUUGUUCCUCAGAGAACAAAUGGCCUUGAGGGAGCUCACUGGAGAAUCCUUCCCCCCCAAACUCAGAUUGUACUUUGAAAGCCCACAACCUUGUUCAGUGUGGGAGCUCCUGUCCCUUCUGUAGCACACGUCCCUGAGGGGCUGGGGGUUCCUGGGUGAGAUGUAGACCUCCAUCCUCCCGGUGGUUCACGGUGAUGCCACUGACUCUAUGUCCCUCCUCGUCCCACACAAUGUGAAGAUGAGUCCACUGUGUAUCUAAAUGAGGUCUGCAGGAUGGGCACCCUCUAGGCAGGUGUGAUGGAGAAGCUGACAGAGUCCAUGGUCCCAGCCUUCCCGGGUAGAAUCAUCUGCAAUGUCACCACCUUUGUGUGCAACUACUCAGCCUUCAACACUUCCCACCAGGUCCUGGACCAACUGUUUACCAGGUGACUGCCCGCCUCCUCCUCAGCACAGUGGUGACUCUGCCCAUGGCCAGCUGUGUGUCUCGGGAAUGUCACCACAUCUCUCUGAGCCUCAGUUUGCUCCUCUGAAAAGUGGAAUUGGGGAGGAUGAACUUCCUAGGGUUCUCCCAGGGAUGAAUGGGGUCAGCCAUCCAGGUGCUUCCCUGGUGGCUGGCUCUGCAGAGAGGGCCGUGGGCCAUGCUGUGGCUGUUCUUGGUGAGCAUUUCUCUGUCCUCCAUGAAAAGUAGUCUUCCUCUCCCUUCACUGGCUUGUGGCUUUUUGAGUUUGGAAAACUACCUGUAGAGCACCCUGUCAAGGAGUUUGAGAUUCCAUCCAGCUGGUCUUAGUGCUUGUCCUUGGUAUAGCCAAUUAGGGAUCUCUGGGGCCACAGAGGGGCCCCAGACCCACUCAGAUACCUGGGGUGGUUCUGGUUGGAGUUCAUUCAACAAUUAAGUGCCUACUCCACGCAGGACUUUUGAAGACACUUAGCAUAACUCAAUGAAUGAAGCAGACACCAUCCCUGGUCCUCAAUUCUACUCUGAGAGUCAGGCAGUCACACUCGAAAUCAUUCACAGGUACUGUCCACUAUACGAACCAUGAGAUGCCCUUGUAUCUUCUUGGACAUAUGGAGGCAUCUUCCCACAUUGUGAGUGGGAUGAUGGACCAAAGGACCACCUAAAAAAAUGAGUGGUCUUUGGGUCCAGAAGGAGGGCCUCCUGUCUCUAGAGAACAUGUUUGAGGGAGAGUAUGGGGCUGUGGCUUUGGCAGGCCUAGCAGAACCCUGCAUCUCACUCAUCUUUUGAUUCUUAUGGGAGGGCUGAGUUCUGGUGGCUUCCACUCCAGGAGGACAGGAGUCAAAGAGAGCUGUGGAUGGGUCUCAGGCCCCCUGGGAACCAGAAGGGAAGCUGGGCUUAGUUGUUCCCUAGAGACCCAUCCCACCAGAGUCUCAUCUCACUCUGCCUCCCUUUCUCCACAUCCACCCCUUUUGGCCACCACCACCAGGUCCAGAGCAGGAGAUGCAUGAUAAAGUUGCUCACAAAUCUGCCUGAGUCUUCAGUCCAGUGGCCCUCGUGCAUGGAGGGUUGGGGUGGGCUGUAUCCAGGCCCUUUGGGAGAAGAGUGUCAGUGGGAACAAGAGACUCCCACAGACUCUGUGUUCAACCUGGUGGAUGAGCAGGCCUGCCACUGCAAGGACAGCCACACAGGGUUCAGGGCUGGGAUGGGGCUCUCCUCUGGAGGAGAAGAGGCAGGCACAGGGGUCCAGAUCCAAACAAGGGUGCUUCAGGAGGGCAGUGUGGAAAGAAAGGCCAGGUCUCUGACUCUGCGGCCCAUCUGCUGCUCCUCAGUGCUAUCUCUUUUAUGGUGGGAAGCUGGCUGGACCAAGGGCAGGAUUUCUGGGAGCGCCUGCACUUUCCCUGUUUGACAGUGAAGCUGGCCAUUGUUCAUGUCAGCUUUGGUGGCUGAAGGGAAAUGGAGGUACUGUAGACAAUCAGACUGGAGCAGCUUCGGUGCAGAUGUGACUCAGCAUGUCCCCUGCAGGCAGUGCACACGCCAACCAUGUAUGUAAACACCUUACGUAACCUGCAUAAUGUAAACAUUGUAUGUCAUCUGCUGGCUGUAUGCCGCUUUUGUCUAGUAGUCAUUUAAAAGUGGCCACAAGGGGAGCUGCUGUGCUCCCACCGUCUGUGGGCCAGAGUAAACAAAGAGUAUGUCUCCCUUGCGGUUGGCUGCUCACAGCUUUUUUCUUUUCUGUUUUUUUUUUUUUUUUGAGGAAGAUUAACCCUGAGCUAACAUCUGCUGCCAAUCCUCCUCUUUUUGCUGAGGAAGACUGGCCCUGAGCUAACUUCUGUGCCCGUCUUCCUCUACUUUAUAUGUGGGACACCUACCACAGCAUGGCUUGCCAAGAGGUACCAUGGCUGCACCCAGGAUCUGAACUGGUGAACCCUGGGCCGUGGAAGCAUAACGUGCACACUUAACCAUUGUGCCACUGUGCCAGCACCUUGCACCUUUUUCAAUUCCCCAAGCCCCAUAGUCCAGUCCUUGGCUGUUUUUCUCCUGCUUACAAUUGACCUAGUCAGCCAGAUUCUGGGGUGAGUGGACCUAUGGCUCCUGAGGCUGACGGGACGGACAUGUGGCCACCCACUAGUAUGUGGUUCCUGGUGGUGGAGGUCCUGCUGAAUUGGGCUCCUGCAGAAGGAUGGGAGUCUGUGGAUGGUACCCCAGUCAGCACUGAGACGGCUCUGCGUAGCCUAGGGGAGCAGGUGCCGGAGAAGGCCCAGCGUGCCAUGGGGCCGGCUGGCUGUUUUUGACAGCGUUAUGCUGCAACAUGGAUUCUGCCCUGCAGGAUGCAACCUGCAUACAGGAACUCCAAGCCAAGGAGCAUGCCUUGGAGGUGCGGGUGUGGCAGUUGGAACUGGAGCUGGAAAUGGUGCCUCGCAGUGAGACAGCAGAGGACACUGAGGUUGGGGACUGCCGAGGAUGGGGACGUGGAGGAAACAUGCCCUCUCCAUGCUUGGCCAGUAAUCCAGCAAAAGGUAAAGCAUGAGCAACCCUUGGGUCUAGGAGGUGUCGCCCAAGGAGCCUCGAUUGUGACAGAGUUCAUGGCAUAGUCCCCUUAUACGCCAAUGGAACUGUGGGACCUGUGUAAGCAGUGCAGGCAACAGCUGGGUGAGCCCAUACUGGCCUGGCUCCUGUGGCUAUGGGAUGAGGGGGCGGAUAGUAUAAUCUGUACUUCUGACGAGAUGGAGAAGCUGGCCUCCAUCACGUUGCCCCCCUCCAUCUGGCAGUGGUUCCAGAAUAGCUGCCAGCUAGGCCAAGGGCAGGGAAAUCACUCCAUGAUGGAGUGGGUGACAGCUGCCGCCCGGACUGUGUGGGAUAACGCCGGGGAGCUCCUGGAGACUGUGAGCCAAUGGCAGACCUAUGCGGAACUGGUGCAAGUUAUCCGUGAGUUGGAAAUGUGGCAAGCCAUUUUUAACCUUCAUACCCGGGGGCCCAAUGAUGAGUGCUUUAUGUCCAGGAUGAAGGACUUGGUCCUUAACUCAGCCCCAUCUAAUGCUUUUGGGUCCUUGGUGGCCAUGAGGUAACCACUGCAAUGGCCACUUUGGGGGAUGUAGAAGGCUGACAGAAGGAGAAAACCAAGCGUGUCACACGGUGAGUGGUGCCAAAGCUGAGAGCAGGCUUGGCAGAGAAAGGGCCUAAACAAGUUACCUGCAUGUAAAAGUGGGUAGACCUGCUAGCCUCAGGCAUUGAUCAGAUGAAAAUAACUGGCAGCCGAAUGCUGUCUUGGUGGCACUGUGGCAUCAGUUGAAGCCUGAGCAACAGUUCUAAAAGACUGUGGAAAGGCGAAAGAAUCCCAGCAAGAACAGGCAAGUAAGCCUCCAGGACUUUACACAGCCCUGAGGUGAGGAGCCCAUGUACCUCUUUGACUAGGGGAGAGGCCGGAGUGCCUGGCUUGGGGGACCCCUGGAGGACUGGAGGCCACAUGUGGAACUUGCGAUUUACCGGUCCCCCACAAAUGUGCAGCGUGCGCUGGCAUUGGUAGAUACUGGAGCUGAGUGUAGUCUGAUUUAUGGCAACCCGGAUAAAUUUCCAGGGAAGCUGGCAUAUGUUGAUGGCUUGGAGGCCAUACUGUGAAAUUGAAGCCAGUGUCUCUGUCCCUUGGCAUUGGCUGUUUGCUGCCCCAAGUGUACACAGUGUCUGUGUCUCCUAUCCCCGCGUAUGUUCUGGGGGUAGACGUCUUGCCAGGACUGCGCCUGCAGAUGACCAUGGGCGGGUUCUGCCUACGAGUGCAUGUGGUUAAGUCUGUUGUCCAGGGGCAUACACACCACCUGCUGCAAGUGUUGCCGGUGCCACGACAUGUAGUGACCACCCAACAGUAUUGCCUCACAGGUGGACAUGAGGAGAUCACACAGACCAUUGCAAAAGUAGAAGAGGCUAGGAUCUUGCAAUCCACCCAAAGCCCUUAUAAUUCCCUGGUUUGGCGAGUGAGGAAGGCUGACGGCACAUGGUGUAUGACUGUGGAUUACUGGGAAUUAAAUACAGUGACUCCUCCAUUGCAUGCUGCUGAGCCCUCAGUGCAUGACAUAAUGGAUCAACUGACAGUCCAAUUGGGACAGUACCACUAUGCUGUGGACCCUGCUUUUCCACCGAUAUUCCGGCUGAGAGUCAAGAUCAGCUUGCCUUCACCUGGGAUGGCAGACAGUGGACAUUUUGUGAGUGGCCACAAGGGUACCUGCCUAGCCCCACUAUUUGUCAUGGCUCAUGGCUCAGGAUUUAGCUGCUUGGACUCACAGUGAUACAGUGCUUGUGUUUCACUAUAUUGAUGAUGUUAUGUUAACCUCUGACUCUUGCAGAUCUACAGCAGACUCCUGAGUCCCUGUGGAAGCAUCUGGCAAUGUGGUUGGGCGGCCAAUGAUGCCAAAGUCCAGGGACCUGGCUUAUCUGUCAAAUUCUUGGGGGCUGUCUGGUCGGGUAAGAUGAGGGUGAUACCUGAAGCAGUCAUUGACAAAAUACAGGCGUACCCCCUGCCAACAACUGUAGCUCAAUUGCAAACAUUUCUGGGCCUGUUGGGGCACUGGUGAGUGUUUAUCCCUCGUUUAGCCCAGGUGGUGAGGCCCCUAUAUGCUGUGGUAAAGAAGGGAGCCCUGUGGGACUGGACAGAUGCUGCAGACCAAGCAUUUAAGGCUGCCAAGAGUGCUGUGCAGCAGGCACAAGCUUUACAGGUGGCUGACCCAGGACAGCCAUAUGAAUUGGACGUCCAUGUUACCCAGGAGGUUUCGGCUGGGGCCUGUGGCAGCUUCACCACUGGGUACGAGCCCCUGUCGGGUUCUGGUUCCAACUAUGGAAAGGAGCGGAAAUACAAUGUUCUCUAGUGGGGAAACAGUUGGCAGCCACCUAUGCCACCCUGAUAGUGUGUGAGGCUAUCACACGAAUGGCCCCUGUUCAGCUUAGAACCAUGUCCCCUAUUCAAGGAUGGCUCCGGUCAUGGGCUACCCGUCCACAGUCUGGCGUGGCCCAGACCCCUACCUUGUCACAGUGGGGGGCUUAUCUAGAACAAAGGAGCUCGGUGAGUUCCAGCCCCCUGAGUAUGGAGCUACAGAGGGUGUUAGGGUCGGUUGAGUUCCUUGCUGUGGGGGAACAGACUCCUAUGGCUCCUCUAGGCAUAGAGCCCAUGCCCUGUGCUGAGGGAAAGCUCCCGGUCCUGGAGGGUGCUUGGUACACUGAUGGUUCUAGUAGAGGGCCAGCUGCUAUGUGGACAGCCAUGGUUAUGCAGCCAAGCCCUGAUACCAUUUGGUUUGAUACUGGCACCAGCCACAGCAGCCAGUGGGCAGAAUUAUGGGCUGUCUGGAUGGUUAUCACCCAUGAACCAGGGCCCUUAGCUGUUUGUACAGAGAGCUGGGCAGUGUACCGGGGAUUGACCCUGUGGUUAUCUGUGUGGCAGGCUCAGCAGUGGUUGUCCAGAAACCACCCCAUGUCGGGGCAGGCCAUGUGGCAGGAACUAUGGGCCUUGGGCCAUGGAAAAGAGGUGACAGUGUAUCAUGUUCCCGGCCAUAUGCCUCUGACUGCUCCUGGGAACGAUGAGGCUGAUGCUCUGGCCCGUGUGAGGUGGCUGGAAAGAGCCCCGUCUGCAGAUGUGGCGCACUGGCUACAUUGAUGCCUAAAUCAUGCAGGGAGCAAGACCGUGGGAACAGUGAGUAACACUGGGGGGUACCCCUCACGUGGCAACAAAUAAUGACAGCAUGUCAAGAAUGUGCUGUAUGUGCCCAGGCCUUUCCUAAUAGAAGGAAACCAGUGUCCACACAGCAGCAAGUAGCUGGAGGGCGUGUGCCCUUGGUCUGACGGCAGGUGGACUACAUCGGACCAUUACCGAAGACCAAAGGCGCUGUGUACGCCUCUACGGCUGUCGAUAAGGCCACCGGUUCCCUCUUUGCACGGCCCUGUGCAGCCACAGAUCAGAGGCAGACACUUCAGGCCCUUGCAGGUACUCUGUGCCUUUUAUGGUUGACCCUUGGUCGAGGAGAGCGACAAGGGGACACAUUUUACAGGACAAGAAGUCCAAUGGUGGGCCAGCACCAUGGAUGUUCAAUGGCUUUUCCAUACUCCUUAUAACCCGGCUGCUGCCAGGAUGAUAGGAAGGUAUAAUGGGCUUUUAAAGCAGGGCUCACACACAGCCACACAGCCUUCCUCCCUGGGAGGCUGGGCAACUCGGUUGCGGCAGGUGCUGAUGGUGUUCAAUGAACAGCCUCAAAAGGGAGGGCCAGCUCCCACAGAGGCUGUGUCACAGCCCCCACACAGCUGCAAGCAGUGACCACUGAUGAGUUACUAAAGCCUGGCUACGGCCGAAAUUACGGCCGAAAUGGAAACAUUCUUUUGCCGGCCCCAACAUGUCUCAACAUGGGGGAAGUACGAGAAUGAGAAUGGCCUUGAAGAUAAAAGCCCGUCACGGCAAGCGGCUGGCGCCUUGAGCACCCUGGGGACUUGGGGAACAACAAGACAUGUCACCUUGUGGGUGACUAGGACUUGGACCCCUCAGGUAACUGUCAGGCUGCCACAGACCGAUGCCAGUUCUGUCCUGAAGGGAGCAUAUGUGAUUUCCAUGUGGCCAAUAAUGAGUUCCCCUGUCCUGCUGCAUGUGGAGCCAGCUCUUGCAGCGCCUCUGCAAGCAGGAAAGGUGUGGUAUCAUCAGCUGGGAUGGCCCCUGUUGGCAGCCACCCUCUUGUCUCAGGAUAAGUGGCUAGCCUGUGUUCUGCCUGAAGGACGUGAUUGGCUCCUCCUAGUUCCUAUCACUGCUUUGUCCUUUCGCCCAUAGACGGAGAGUGGUGAACAGUGUUGCAGAAUGGGCGCACACCUAGCUGAGGUGACCAACAUAGCUAACUGCUGGGUGUGCACAGAACUGCCCACCAGCACUGCAGAAGGCUCGCUGUGACACAUCCACCCUGCUUCAGAAGGGAACUGGACCUGGCUGUGUUCCUGAGGACCUGCUGAUGCUCAGUGGGACCAAAGAAGGCACCAAGUGGACCAGUAGCUGUGCUGACAACAUGGACGAAAACGGCCCUGGGUGACCCUGAGCCUCUGGGAUGACUAUGGGUGGUUAUGUGGGGAGGCUGUUGUGCUCUGCGUGUCUGUGCCCCCGUGCAUAGAGCAACAGAAGGGGGAUGUGAUAGCAGGAUAGGUACCCAAGGAGCUGUGUCAGAAGAUCCAGUGAGUGACCCAGCCCAAGUAUUGGUGGAAUGCCCAUCCCUAUGUCGGGACAGUCCCCAUGGACAGAGUGCCCACGGGCAGUCUCUGGGUCUGUGGUAGUUAUGAAUGGCCUUAUCUCCCUGGCCAACUGGACAGGGUGAUGCACUUGGGGGUGGCCCUACCUCCCAGCUGCUGUUCAGAGAACUUUGGAUGUGUGACCCAGCAAUUGGGAGAGGGUAAAAAGGCGCUGUCACUGGGAGAAAUGAAUGCCCUGGUGGGUUUACCUCCUGGCUGUUCUUAGUCCGUCCGCGGGGACUAUUGCUGUGAAGUGGCAGGUUACUGCCUUGACAGAGCAUAACGCCCGAGCCCUCAGUCAUACAGCCCGGGCCCUGUCUCUCUUAGCUGAUGAAGUAGACCAGACCCAGAAGGUCAUGCUGCAGAACCACAUGGCUCUAGACAUCCUUACUGCAGCACAAAGGGGGACCUGUGCAGUUACUGAGGUGCAAUGUUGCACGUUUAUACAAGAUAGUGCAAGGAACAUAUCGCAAGCCUUGCGACAGGCCAGGCACAAGAUCUCGUGGAUCCAGACAUUGACAGGAGACCCCCUGCAGGAACAGUGAUCUAAGUUGUCCUCCUCGUGGCAGUGGGCUCUGACCACAUUAGGAGGUAUAUCCUGUCUCCUGAUGGUCAUUUGCUGUUCUCUGUAUUGCUGUUGUGGAAUGUAGGUCCAAGGCAUUGGGCUGUGUGCCCAUGCCUCCCGCAAACUCCCCCCACUGCUGAGGUCUGAUGAGGGUGGAGGGAAGGGAAAUGGAGGUACUGUGGACAAUCAGACCGGAGCAGCUUCCGGGCUUCUGUGGCUCAGCAUGUCCCCUGCAGGCAGUGCAUGUGCCAUCCAUGUAUGUAAACACCUUAUGUAACCUGCAUAAUGGAAACAUUGUCUGCUGGCUGUAUGCCACUUUUGUCUAGUAGUCAUUUAAAAGUGGCCACAAGGGGAGCUGCUGUGCUCCCACCAUCUGUCUGCCAGAGCGCAUAGAGUAUGUCUGCCUUGCCACCGGCAGCUUGCACUUUUUUUCAAUUCCCCAAGCCCUGUGGUCCAGUCCUCAGCCGUUUCUCUCCUGCAUACAGUGGCUCAGACCUGGAGGGCCAUGCCUAUCUUUUCCCAGUUGAGCUGGAGCAUCUCGAGUCCAUUGAGGCAGAGUGGGUAGGUGGGGGGACUACAGACUGGGAAGACAGUCUGUGCAGGGGUUCAUGGGCUGGAGUUCUCUUAAAGGCAGUGGAGUCUUUCCUGUCUUUGGAAAGGCACAGGAAAUGUCAGGUAUGUGGGUGAAACUUUCUCUUUAUCCUGCUCCAGAGCCAGCUCCAGAGCUCCUGCCACUUCCAGAGCCAGAGCAAGGGCCAGCUCCUGGGCUAGAGACAGGUCCAGCUCAAGUCCCACCACCUGUGGGAGAGCUGGAGCCAGCAUCACCUGCAUCGGCCCUUCCAGGACUGGAGUUAGGGCCACCAUUGACUUCAGCCCCAGAGCCAGCUCCUUUGCUGGAGCCAACUGGACUCUGGGCUCUAGUGACAUUUCCAGUUCCAUCUGCACAAAUAACGAGCAUGCUGGAUCCAGCCCCAGAACCCUUCUGGCCCUGGGCUGUGACCACCAAGAACCAGCUGAGGGAGGAGAUGCCAAACCUCUUGGACUUCCCUCCCCAGCUGGUGGCAGAGCAGCAGACGAGGAUGGCUGCGACUCCAGGCCCCCAACAAAGAGCCCAGUGGCGGUGGCAGAUGACCCUCCUGAGAGCAGCUGAACUACAGCCUUUUCCUCAGCAGGGAACACAGCUGGGACACUCAGGGUGCACAGGGCCACCUCCUUCCAUUCUGAUGGGGAGAACUUUGUGAUCCUUUUCCCAGGGGUCCCCUGAAGGUGACAAGGGAGGCCAUGACCCCCCCAUCUCCCUCACACCUUUUCCCUAGUGCCUAUUUACCUCUUUGGAGGGGCCAUAUUUCUGUCGUCAGUGGUAAAUGCUGCUUUUGAAUGUUAUAUUAAACGCCUGUUUCCUUCUCAGCCUGGGAGUGCUGGU
ensembl:lncRNA